GAUGAACGCUGGCGGCGUGCUUAACACAUGCAAGUCGAACGGAAAGGCUCCUGCUUGCAGGGGUACUCGAGUGGCGAACGGGUGAGUAACACGUGGGUGAUCUGCCCUGCACUUCGGGAUAAGCCUGGGAAACUGGGUCUAAUACCGGAUAGGACGAUGGUUUGGAUGCCAUUGUGGAAAGUUUUUCGGUGUGGGAUGAGCUCGCGGCCUAUCAGCUUGUUGGUGGGGUAAUGGCCUACCAAGGCGUCGACGGGUAGCCGGCCUGAGAGGGUGUACGGCCACAUUGGGAUGGGGUACGGGCCAAGACCCCUCGGGGGGGCAGCGGGGGGGAAUUUGGCACAAGGGGGGCAGCCCGAAUGAGGCGCCGCCGGGGGGGGGAGGACGGCCUUCGGGUGUAAAACUCCUUUCCCUGGGAACAAAGCGAAAGGGCGGGUACCGGGAAAAAAAGCCCCGGCAAACUACGU
rnacentral:rRNA from 1 species